UGGCCGCGCGGGGCUGGCGCCGGGGUCUCUCAGCUGCGGCGCGGGACACCGGGGUAACCUGGGGACAAGACACCGAGGGAAAGAGAGGCGUCCACUACGGAGCCCUGACUUUUCCGAGUGUGGCCCGCGGCUGGCGGUGGUUGGGGGAAGCGCACGCUCUGACUCCUGCGUUUACUAAGGGCCUGGCACUUUAAUGAGUAUGGUUCCCCCCACUUUGCAAGAUAGGAAAUCGAGGCUCUGGCGGGUUAAACCAAGUGAAAGAAGUGGAGAUUUGGACGCCGGCCCAGUUCGGAGAACGGUCUUUUAUCGUGCACAGUAGGACGCUGAAGGAAGAGCCCACCCCACCGUUCCCGGUUAGACUUUACCCCCAAGCUUAGCCUACUCUUCCUCCCUUCUUCGCUCUGACAAACCCGGAGCGGGGACGUGUUUCCACCCGCUCUUUAAGGGGAGAGAAUGAGUCGGAGCUCGGGUGCCAGCAAGGACAGGACGGAGACGGAGUUAAGAGGCUGUCGGGGUGUAUACGUCACUGAGUGACGGCCCCUGGGGUGGGCGGCCACAGAGGGAGGCGACCUUUGAACAAUGACUUGCUUCACAGGCAGCCCUGAGAGGACAGGGACAGAGACUCCCAGGCAAGAGUCACCGGAGUCACUUCCACUCACCAGAGCCAGUACCACAAGGGAGCCACUGGCGAGGCUUUAGGAGAGUGCUCCGCCUGCGUGCGGUCAGACAGACAGAAGGACCCUUCUGUCCGUCCGCGGUGGCAGAGAAGCGCCAGGCCUGGCUUUUGGAGCUGAGUCCUCCCCCUCCCUACCUCUUUUCAAGGAGAUGGAAAUCAGGUGCACGCUGCCCAGCUUCUCACGUGACCUCUCUCUAAAUAAGCAGUAAGCAACUGCAAAACUCGGAAUGCUAAUAAUGGCCUUUAUUGAGUGAAAAGAGCUAAUUUGGGCAAUGAUGUUUCCCUCCGAUUUGCAAAAGGGAAUUGCAAAUAACCACCAGUAAUAGCAUUGAUGGGAGAUGAUGCUAAACUUCAAUCAGCAUCCGCGUUCGUUAUUCACGUAUUUGGAAGGGGAGCAUUUCCGACACAGUGACUGCGCACACGUGUCACGGUGACAGGGUGCAAACAUCCUGGUCUUCCCGGAAGUGUGACAGCCUCAGAAGGAUCUGCAGUGGUGAGGGCAGACCUAGCUCUCAGGCCCGCUGAGAACAAUGCUCCCCUCAGCCUGGAGGGCCCACCAUGGAAGAAGGUGGAGGAUACUACUGUGAUUUCAGACUAAAACUUCAUUUAGUAGCGGGGAGGUAGAAGGUAAGUCAGCCACAGGGCACCACCACGCCUGAAGCGAUGAAUGUUUUCCUCCUGGAACUGAAUGAAAGCUGUGCUGGACUGGUGAGGGCUGGAUUAUUUACCAUGAGAGAAGGUUGUUCUACCAGUUUGGCGUCCUUGGCUUCCUGGCACCACAGUAACUUUUAUUGCAGAUCAUGGAGGCCUGCAAUAAAAGAUGCAAUAAAGGAUGCUGUCCAACGUGUGGUGAUGUGCCCAGAUACCUUCAGCAAAGACCAAACAGUGGGGCUACCCAGUCAUGGAAAUCAAUGCUCCAAAACUGUAGGCUGUAUAAACCUUUCUUCUACAGAUUCCCAGCUUUGGGUGCUUUGUUAUAGCAUCGGAAAGCAGACUAAGCUAAUGGGUCAAUGGAGGAGAUAGAAUGGAUAUGGAAUGAGGCUGGAGGAGAGAUCUCAUGAAAGGGACCCCUUAAGGGAAGAGUCAGGUAGAUCAUGACUUCCCAGGAAGCCCCAAUCCCCCAAGACAGAAGCACUAAAGCAGAGGAGUGUGGGUGCUACUGAGGACUGGCUCUGACCCGCCAUCUCGCCAUCUCAGAGCUGAGGUGGCAGCGGAGCUCCUGUAACCUUCAGGGUCAUUGGCUUCUCUCCACUCUGCAGACCUGAGGGGACCUGACUAUCUUCCCUGGGUGUCUUGUGCCACAGAAAGGCAAGAGAUAAGGGCAUCUCAGUGUAACAAAACCCUGGCUGUCCUGGAGCUUGCUCUGUAGACCAGGCUAGCCUCCAACCACAGAGCUCCUCCUCCCUCUGCCUCCCGAGUGCUGGGAUUAGAGAGGGUGUGAAGAAACAUGGGGUGCGCCUUCAGGUCUUGGCACCACGGACUCCGAUGUCACUCACCCCUAGGCCUCACUGACAGUGGCUGGUACACAGGGGGAACUGCCUCCUAUAAGUCCCAGAGCCCCUCUGCUGACUCUGGAUCACCCUGAAGCAAGCCUCUCCCAGGUGCCAGGCUGCUAGCAUCUCUUCUAGGAUGGAAGACAUAAUUCUUGCCCUUGCUGUGCAGGGCUCAGGGAGGGGACAAAUGAGAAAGAACACUGGAAACUCCAAAGAGGUCUGGGCCCUCUCCCAGGGAACCACUCCCCUUACCUGGUGAGGAGGCCUUUGCCCCCAUCCCCCAUCAGGAAAGACUCCGAAAAACCAGAAAAUGAGAGUACCGAGAUGAACCGUCACAUCGCGUUAAUAUUUUCACACCACUUAACUCUCAUUAAAAUGUACUUUGCUGAAUUUAAUAUGUGAUUUCAAAUGACACAACAUAUUAAGUGCUUAAUAUACUAGAAAUUAUGAAACUAUUACAGUCGAUGCCAUAUGAAAUAAUUAGAGUGAAUUAAACUUUAGCAGCCGAGUGAAGGCAAGGCUUCAACUUCUAAUGCCUGCAAGUCGCUCAAGCCAACGCUGUAAUCCCCCAAAUAGAUGUCCAGAAAGUAGGCUCUUUAAAUAAAAACCGAGUUUCAUGUGUACUUACACCACAAGGUCUUCUGGGCUUUGGUGACAUGGA